rnacentral:rRNA from 1 species
UUUUUAUACACGGUUGGCAUCGGUCGGGCCUGUCCAACAGUGCGGGAAUUAUUUUCCGGAGCUGAGCUUAACGAGUUGGCACGUAUAUGGAAGUGGAAGUAAAAAGUCGUAACAAGGUCUCCGUAGGUGAACCUGCGGAGGGAUCAUUACAAGUGACCCCGGUUUUACCACCGGGAUGUUCAUAACCCUUUGUUGUCUGACUCUGUUGCCUCCGGGGCGACCCUGCCUUCGGGCGGGGGCUCCGGGUGGACACUUCAAACUCGUGCGUAACUUUGCAGUCUGAGUAAAUUAAUUAAUAAAUUAAAACUUUUAACAACGGAUCUCUUGGUUCUGGCAUCGAUGAAGAACGCAGCGAAAUGCGAUAAGUAAUGUGAAUUGCAGAAUUCAGUGAAUCAUCGAAUCUUUGAACGCACAUUGCGCCCCCUGGUAUUCCGGGGGGCAUGCCUGUUCGAGCGUCAUUUCACCACUCAAGCCUCGCUUGGUAUUGGGCAACGCGGUCCGCCGCGUGCCUCAAAUCGACCGGCUGGGUCUUCUGUCCCCUAAGCGUUGUGGAAACUAUUCGCUAAAGGGUGUUCCGGAGGCUACGCCGUAAAACAACCCCAUUUCUAAGGUGACCUCGGAUCAGUGAAGAAACAG